CCUACGGGAGGCAGCAGUGGGGAAUAUUGGACAAUGGGCGAAAGCCUGAUCCAGCCAUGCCGCGUGUGUGAAGAAGGCCUUCGGGUUGUAAAGCACUUUCAGUGGGGAAGAAAGCCUUGGGGCUAAUACCCUCGAGGAAGGACAUCACCCGCAGAAGAAGCACCGGCUAACUCCGUGCCAGCAGCCGCGGUAAUACGGAGGGUGCGAGCGUUAAUCGGAAUUACUGGGCGUAAAGCGCGCGUAGGCGGUCUGAUAAGCCGGUUGUGAAAGCCCCGGGCUCAACCUGGGAACGGCAUCCGGAACUGUCAGGCUAGAGUGCAGGAGAGGAAGGUAGAAUUCCCGGUGUAGCGGUGAAAUGCGUAGAGAUCGGGAGGAAUACCAGUGGCGAAGGCGGCCUUCUGGACUGACACUGACGCUGAGGUGCGAAAGCGUGGGUAGCAAACAGGAUUAGAUACCCUGGUAGUC
rnacentral:rRNA from 1 species